UUUGCAUUAAAGAAUAAAGUACAGAUGACAGAAACCAUGGAAACCAUUCCAAUUGAUCCACUAAUUGGUACCAGGUGGCAAAAACAACAAAUGCAAAACAGCAAGAGCCAGCGGUGACAGUUUUCCGCCUUAAGACAGCUUCGACACCGGAUAUUUGUAAACAGUAGCCAAGUCAUAUCGAAGAACAACUUUAGUCAUUUGAAUUCAUAUUUUAUUACCACGUAGGGCCUAGGCUAUAAUUUCGCAACCACCUCCCACAAAGUUGACGUAACGAUGUGGCCACUCUAUGACGCGUGUUGUUGAUACGGAGCUGUGCAGUAGCGGCGCUAGAGAAAUCAACUGGACGAAGAUGUGGGUGCACCCUGAAGAGGUGUUGCAGGCGGGUGCGUUGUGGAUAACCGAGCGAGCAAAUCCCUAUUUCAUCCUCCAGAAACGCAAGGGCCACGGGGAUGGCAGAGGAGGACUAGCGGGUGAGAUGCAUAUAACUGCCUCUGCUUUGCGUCUCUCUCUGUCUCUAAAUCAUGGGUUAUUUUAGCCAAGCAUAGCUCAACUCCACGAAUGUUCUAUCGUAGAGUUAAGAUAUACUUGGCUAGGAUUAUUUAACGCUAUUACAGCGCUGAUGCAAGCAGUGCCAAGCCAAAUUAUUGUCCCCUGGCCGGGUUUCUCGCUUGGUUUGGGAGAUUAUUCAUGACUCUCAGAUGUUUAGUGAUGGAGAGAAGAUUGCAUGUGUAGUGAGGGAUAGGGGUCGGUCACUCGGGUAUAUCAAUGGCAUGAGGGGACGUAGACCUGUAUGAAUGAAUAGACACGUGACCCUAAUAGCCCCUACUUCUAUAUUUUAUUUAUUUAACUAGGCAUGUCAGUUAAUAACAAAUUCUUAUUUUACAAUGAUGGCCUACCCCGGCCAAACCCACCCCUAACCCGGAUGACGCUGGGCCAAUUGUGCGCCGCCCUGUGAGACUCCCGAUCACGGCCGGUUGUGAUACAGCCCGGGAUCGAACCAGGGUCUGUAGUGACACCGCUAGCAUUGAGAUGCAGUGCCUUAGGCCGCUGUGCCACUCGGGAGCUACUAUAACUAGACAAAUGCAGGUGUGAUUUUUAUCUGAAUGAGGUUUUAGGCUCAGAAUAGUCAUAGGGCCAUUGUACGUUUAUGGACCUACCCCUAUAGAACUACAUACAAUGGAGCUAGUGUGCAUUCAGCAGCUAAUGUAUUGAUCAGCAUCCCAAGAUCUGGGCUAUUUAUGUAGGCCUUGUACUUUAGUUGAUCCUGGAAAAUUGUAACUAAUAUUGUUGCAAAGAGUAAGCCUUCUAUAUACCCUUUAAACCAUUAACAAAACA
rnacentral:lncRNA from 8 species